CGGGGUGGAGUAAUGCUUGGGAAUCUGGCUUAUGGAGGGGGAUAACUACGGGAAACUGUAGCUAAUACCGCGUAGUAUCGGAAGAUGAAAGUGCGGGACCGUAAGGCCGCAUGCCAUGAGAUGAGCCCAAGUGGGAUUAGGUAGUUGGUGGGGUAAAGGCCUACCAAGCCUGCGAUCUCUAGCUGGUCUGAGAGGAUGGCCAGCCACACUGGAACUGAGACACGGUCCAG
rnacentral:rRNA from 1 species